rnacentral:rRNA from 1 species
AGGUAAGCUACUAAGAGCGAAUGGUGGAUGCCUUGACUGGUAAAGGCGAUGAAGGACGUACUAGACUGCGAUAAGCUACGGGGAGCUGUCAAGAAGCUUUGAUCCGUAGAUUUCCGAAUGGGGCAACCCAAUGUAUAGAGAUAUACAUUACCUAUAUAGGAGCGAACGAGGGGAAUUGAAACAUCUUAGUACCCUCAGGAAAAGAAAUCAAUAGAGAUUGCGUCAGUAGCGGCGAGCGAAAGCGCAAGAGGGCAAACCCAGUGCUUGCACUGGGGGUUGUAGGACUGCAAUGUGCAAGAGGUAAGUUUAGCAGAACAUUCUGGAAAGUAUAACCAUAGAGGGUGAUAGUCCCGUAUGCGAAAAACAAACCUUAGCUAGCAGUAUCCUGAGUAGGGCGGGACACGAGGAAUCCUGUCUGAAUCCGGGUCGACCACGAUCCAACCCUAAAUACUAAUACCAGAUCGAUAGUGCACAAGUACCGUGAGGGAAAGGUGAAAAGAACUGAGGUGAUCAGAGUGAAAUAGAACCUGAAACCAUUUGCUUACAAUCAUUCAGAGCCCUAUGUAGCAAUACAGGGUGAUGGACUGCCUUUUGCAUAAUGAGCCUGCGAGUUGUGGUGUCUGGCAAGGUUAAGCAAACGCGAAGCCGUAGCGAAAGCGAGUCUGAAUAGGGCGCUUAGUCAGAUGCUGCAGACCCGAAACGAAGUGAUCUAUCCAUGAGCAAGUUGAAGCUAGUGUAAGAACUAGUGGAGGACUGAACCCAUAGGCGUUGAAAAGCCCCGGGAUGACUUGUGGAUAGGGGUGAAAGGCCAAUCAAACUUCGUGAUAGCUGGUUCUCUCCGAAAUAUAUUUAGGUAUAGCGUUGUGUCGUAAUAUAAGGGGGUAGAGCACUGAAUGGGCUAGGGCAUACACCAAUGUACCAAACCCUAUCAAACUCCGAAUACCUUAUAUGUAAUCACAGCAGUCAGGCGGCGAGUGAUAAAAUCCGUCGUCAAGAGGGAAACAACCCAGACUACCAGCUAAGGUCCCUAAAUCUUACUUAAGUGGAAAACGAUGUGAAGUUACUUAAACAACCAGGAGGUUGGCUUAGAAGCAGCCAUCCUUUAAAGAAAGCGUAAUAGCUCACUGGUCUAGUGAUUUUGCGCGGAAAAUAUAACGGGGCUAAAGUAAGUACCGAAGCUGUAGACUUAGUUUACUAAGUGGUAGGAGAGCGUUCUAUUUGCGUCGAAGGUAUACCGGUAAGGAGUGCUGGAGCGAAUAGAAGUGAGCAUGCAGGCAUGAGUAGCGAUAAUUAAUGUGAGAAUCAUUAACGCCGUAAACCCAAGGUUUCCUACGCGAUGCUCGUCAUCGUAGGGUUAGUCGGGUCCUAAGUCGAGUCCGAAAGGGGUAGACGAUGGCAAAUUGGUUAAUAUUCCAAUACCAACAUUAGUGUGCGAUGGAAGGACGCUUAGGGCUAA